UUUAAAAUCAAAAUCUUCUCACUCACAUCGCACAAACUUUUAGUGGUUCAGUGUUGAUAGAUUAGUUCCUCGUUUUGAAGUUCCAAAGAUAACUAGAGAUCAACAUUCAUGGUUAGAGGGAAGUUUACAGUAGCCUUCGAACUUACAGUAGAACGAAUUCUUGAUUGUACAACAACAGAUAUUAUACAGCAUGCAGAGCAGGUAAAAUUUAUACUUUCAGACACAUUUAACAAGUUUAACAAAUCAUUUUUUUAUAUGUUUUUGUCAUUACAGGAGGAUCAUUCGUACAUAGAGAACAUUACAAAUAGGAUUCAAGAUAAAGAGUGGAUGAUUGUUUUGGGUGCAUCUAUGAAUGAAUUUGGGAAACUACGCCAAAACAAACUUAAUGUAUUAUCUGUCAAUUACAUACCUGGGACAGCAAAAUAGCUAUUUCAAAAAUUUUCUUCUAGACUUCCAGUUAUUAUAAUGUAUAACUAUAAGAAAUUCAUAUGUAAUUAUGAGAUAGCUCUUACUUUUUAUUUGUAA